rnacentral:tRNA from 1 species
CGCGGAGUAGAGCAGUGGUAGCUUGCCAGGCUCAUAACCUGGAGGUCGCAAGUUCAAAUCUUGCCUCCGCAA